rnacentral:rRNA from 1 species
CCCUACGGGGCGCAGCAGUGAGGAAUAUUGGUCAAUGGUCGGGAGACUGAACCAGCCAGGCCGCGUGAGGGAUGAAGGUACAGAGUAUCGUAAACCUCUUUCGUCAGGGAACAAAGGCGGGGACGUGUCCCCGGAUGAGUGUACCUGAAGAAAAAGCAUCGGCUAACUCCGUGCCAGCAGCCGCGGUAAUACGGAGGAUGCGAGCGUUAUCCGGAUUUAUUGGGUUUAAAGGGUGCGCAGGCGGUCUGUUAAGUCAGCGGUCAAAGCCCGGGGCUCAACCCCGGCCCGCCGUCGAAACUGGCAGG